UCGAACGGACCCUUCGGGGUCAGUGGCAGACGGGUGAGUAACGCGUGGGAAUCUACCCGGUUCUUCGGAAUAACCCAGGGAAACUUGGGCUAAUACCGGAUACGCCCUUAGGGGGAAAGAUUUAUCGGAAUUGGAUGAGCCCGCGUCGGAUUAGCUAGUUGGUGGGGUAAUGGCCUACCAAGGCGACGAUCCGUAGCUGGUCUGAGAGGAUGAUCAGCCACACUGGGACUGAGACACGGCCCAGACUCCUACGGGAGGCAGCAGUGGGGAAUAUUGGACAAUGGGCGCAAGCCUGAUCCAGCCAUGCCGCGUGAGUGAUGAAGGCCUUAGGGUUGUAAAGCUCUUUCAGCGGGGAAGAUAAUGACGGUACCCGCAGAAGAAGCCCCGGCUAACUUCGUGCCAGCAGCCGCGG
rnacentral:rRNA from 1 species